ACCUGGACAGUAAAGAGAAUACGCUAUACUUUCAACAUGCUGAGAACCUUCUGUACUCUUAUUGCUCUAGCAUGUGUGGAUGCUGCAAAAGUGUUGACCCAGACACCACCUGUCCACACAGUUUCUCCAGGAGAGGAGGUUCUGCUCAAAUGCAACAUUCAGAGACCUGAAAACAAUUAUGUCAGCUGGUACAAACAGGUCCCUGGUUCUACUCCUCAGUAUAUUCUGAGAUUUUACCAUGAGCACAGUUCACCCAGCUUUGGAACAGGAUUCUCCUCAGACCGAUUUAAUUCUAAAGCCUCAUCAAACAUUGAUUAUCAGUUUAUCAUUAAUCGGGCAGAAGCAGGAGACUCUGCUGUGUAUUACUGUAACACAUGGGACAGCUCUGCUCAGGAGAGUGUAUCACAACCUGGGACAGUUAAAGGCAUGAGUGUCACUGACUUCAGCCUCCCUCCUCCUGUCCUGACAGUCUACCUUCCAUGCAGUGCUGAGCUCCAGUCCAACAAAGCCUCUCUGGUCUGUCUGACCAUCCAAACAUUAGACUGGGUCUUCUUGUUGUUUGCAGGUGUGAGUGACACAGAAACUUCCUGCUGUAUCAGUGUGAAAAGGAGAGACAGCCAGCUCGGACUGUCUGCUCGUUGA